CACAAACAACAACAAUGCCAUGCUGCUGUAGCUUCAGCUGAAAAUUUAAAUAGCUGCUAUUUGAAAUAGUCGUCCAAAAUGUCGGCAAAGAAUGAACUACAGUUACCACCGCUGUCAUACUCUGAAACACACCUGCAUGAACAGAUCAGGGAUCUGCUACCUUUGCGGGCAAAAUUAGUGCUGGUGUCAGGACAAUGUGAGAAGAGGAUUCUGGAUCUAAAGGUACAAGAGAGGGAUAAGGUCAGUGCUCUGAAGCAAGAGUAUCAAUGUCUGCAGAGCAUCAUCGAGAGUACGAGAGGACAACAGAGUACCCUGCAGAUUCAGGUCAAUCCAGCUAAAAUAAGUUGGAGAUCUUUCUGCAGGAGCAGAAUGGACAGGUCAUAGAUCAAAAUGAGUUCUACACUGGGCUUGGCACAUAUAAUGAUGUCCCCAUUUAUCAACGCUAUGAGGGGAAACUUAAGAAUCUUAAGCUCAAGAAAGCUGAUGUAGUUAGAGUAAUCAAGGAUAUCUGGAGGGACAAAACUGCAGAGAAUGAGAAGAGUGAUGGCUGCAGAGACCUGAAGGUUUUACUCUACUAUCUUGUGGAACAGUAUAAGGAGAAGGCAUGAGCGUGGGCUUACAGCUUGAUGGAAAGCAUCAAAAACAAUCUUGAAGAUGAUCUGUCUUUUCAAUGACACUUUUUUUUUUUUUUUUGUCAUGUCUAUAGCUAACCUGAACAUGUAAGUCCAUAAAAGCAGGUUUUGCAGGUUAUGUAGGACCCCCAUAUAUUAAAUGGUACAUGGUGUGCAAUUAUAUUGCGCCUUUUUAACCUUUGCGGUAUUCAAAGCACUUUACACUGCGUC